AUCUGCAUCUGCGAUCUAUACCACAGCUCAGGGCAACGCCAGAUCCUUAACCCACUGAGUGAGCCAGGGAUUGAACCCGCAACCUCACGGUUACUAGUUGGAUUCGUUUCCACUGCGCGACAAUGGGAAUGCCAAAGAAACUUUGAUGUAGGGUUUUCCCACGUUUAUUCGGCAACAGAAAUGUCUUCAGUUUAACACCAAUUUUUCUCCUGCAGGACUAAGAGCUGCCUGGGGAUAGAUUGAGUCACCUGUCCUGUGUAGUCCCUGGGACAGUGAUUGAGCCAGUUCGAGAAUAUUGCGAAGAGGCCGAUGUUGGCUCUGUUCAAGGAAGAAGUUUGCAACAAUCGCAGAUGUUUCAAUCAUGAAAGGGGCAGUAAAAGAAUUCUAGUCUCCAGAGGCCUCAAGCAGAGUGUGGACCUGUUGGGGAGGCUUCGGAAGGGUGCUGGUCUCCAGAGGGUGUCAUCGUGGUUUUCUGGAGUUCCAUGAGCCCCGAGAAGGGGCUCUUCGGCUACCCCACUGCCUAGAGGUGGCAUGGCUUCCUUGCAGCCUGUCGCCUGGCUUAUACUGCUGCGUCCUCAGCCCAAGAAUACUCUGGACGCUUGAAAUGAACAGUCGGUGAAGGGGUCCAUGGCUAGAUAUUCUCUUCGUUGGACUCCUAGCCAGGCAAACACUGAGUGAGUGUGAAGAACUUGGGUUCAGGCUUGAAUAUACCUGGGUCGAAUCCUUCAUUCACUGGCUCUGUGACCUUUCUGAAUCUCAGUUUCUUCUGUUCGUUGGGGAUAAAGGACCUACUACACAGGGUGGUUGUAAAGAUGAGAGAAAAUUGUGCACAGGACCAGGUGCAUCAUUCUGUCUUCAGAAACACACCCAGAAUCCAACCCCUUCCCUUCACCUCCAUUGCCAAAGCAAGAGGCUGAGCACCAUUGUCUCCCUGCAGCUUUCCAGUGGCCGAUGCUCUAGCUGUGGCCACGGUAAUCCUGUUAACAUUUAAGUCACAUCACAUCAC
rnacentral:lncRNA from 1 species